AAAGUUUUGUCCAUCUUUGUUCAUCAUAGCUGAAAGUUAGAGAAGAGAAAGGAGAGGAGAAAGCUCUUGAGUAUUUGGUCAUUAGGAGGAGGAAAAUUGAAGGUAAGUUCUUGGUACCUUGCUUCUAUUUUAAGGUUCAUGAGUUCUUCUUGAUUCUACCUUAACUCUUGAAGUAUAUUUUGAUUUUUAGUUGUGUUGUGAGCAUUUAGUCAUGAAUUAAAAUGAAGGAAAUGGUUGUUGUUUCAUGUUCUUUUGAUGAAAAAUGAAAGAUAGGUGAAGUUGAGCCAAACAAAUGAGCAUGCAUGUGCCUUAGAUGUUAAAGGGAAAAAUCAGCUAACAUGUUGUGCUUUAAAAUGAUGAAAUGGAGAUUAUACUUAAGUAAAAUCAUAGAUAUGUGAUGAUUGAUUGGUGAUAUACAUGUUUAAAUAACAUGCAUGCAAGGUAUGUGUGAAAGAGUGAUUUGGUAAUAAAUCUGCUUGGGACAGCAACAGUAACGUGACUUUGGAAAAUCACCAUAAAUUUUGGGAGAAGAAUUAGAAGCUGAAUAAAUUAUGUAAUUAAAGCUUAUUGAGUCUAGUUUCUAAUGAAAUAAACAAGAACAUAUUUUGAAUUUUGUACAAUGAGAAAUUUGAUUAGUAAUGAAGAGUUGUCAGAUUAGUCAAACAGUGAAACAUGGGAAACUUUGAGAAAAAUAUGGUAUUGAUUGGCUAAACCAAAAAUUCUGAAAAUUUUAUGGAUAAAAGAUAUAUGAGUCUAUUUUCAGGGAAAAUUAACGACACUUGAUUUGGAGUUUCGUAGCUCCAGUUAUAAAUAAUUUAGUAACUAUUGCUCAGGAAGACAGCUUGCAGUGAAAUUAUGAUUAUGUGGUAAACAUUGACAAAAAUUUGUUAAUGAGUUGCUUAUUGAUUUCUUAUAAGCUUACUAUGAUCUGUAGGUGUGGUUGGCCGAAUAUUGUAAGGGGUUAAUACGUAGUUUGUAUUUGAAUAGUUAGAUUAAUGUGUUAGUAAUCCAAUUGUAGGCGGUUCGUGUGUGGAUCUCGUCAGCAUAUCGUCGCAAACAGGUGUGUAACUGACACCCUCUCAUAGACUAGAUUGGCAAAAGCCAAAAAGCCGAAAUGCCGAAAAGUCAGUAUUUUGGGAAUUUGCGAGUGUACGAAUGCUCGUAAGAUAGUUGGGUUUGUAUAUUUGGUAAUCUAAAGUAAUAAACUGCAGUACGCGCGAUUUCGUACAUUUUGAUAAUUUGGGCCUAAUGGGCCAAAGAUCGGGUUCAUGGGCCAACGGGCCCAAUUCAGUAAGUAUGUGUGGUAAGUGUUCUGAUAGUACGUAAAUAGUUAGGAUAUGCAUGAAAACCCUAAAAUUAGCUAAAUUACUAUAAUACCCCUAUGUAUGGAAAAUUACUGUUAUACCCCUAGGUGCAAAAUUACCGUUAUACCCCUAGGGUUAAUUUUGACUGAAAAGCAUGAUGAUCUGAUUCUGUAUGAUGUAUGCCAUGAUUAUAUAUCUGUUGCAUGGGGACAUGGGUUAUAUUAUGGAGGAAGCGUUCUGGUGGCUAUGCCACAAAUAUCUGAUCUGGUGGCUCUGCCACAUAUAUCUGUUCUGGUGGCUCUGCCACGAUUAUCUAUAUCUGGUGACUCUGUCACAUUAUCUGUUCUGGCAGCCAUGCUGCAAAUUCCGUAGUGUGUAGCGGUUGGGUGGGUCGAGUUGUCUCCCCACACGGUGUAAGGUUGGUACGAGGGUGUAUACGGUUGGAUAUGGUUGGGUUUUUGCAUAAACAUGUAAUAUCUGUUCUGUUCUGUUAUGGGCCUAUGGGCUUUAUUUUGAAUUCUAUUCUGGGCUAAGGCCAACUUAUUCUAUUUCUGUGGUUUAAGCUGAUAUAGGCUAUGGUUGGGUUAAUUUACACACUGAGUUUCCCCAAACUCACCCCUUUUAUUUUCAUCCACGUAGGUAAUCCCCAACCAUAGUGGGCUUGGAGCUGUGAGGGAAUUCGGAGUGGCCACCUGUUCUGAAAGUUUGAUUUUCUUCUGGUGAACUGGACAUCCUUUUAUUUACGUUUGAAGUUUUGGGUUUUUAAAUGUAAUAAGGCCGCUUAUUUAUUUUUGAUGGUUUUUUUAUAUGUAUUACUAAGAUAGGUAAUACUUAUUUUAACUGUUGAAAUUGGAUAGCUUUAGGGCGCGUUUUCAAAAACAACAGUUGAUUUCAAAAUAACACGACAACAAGCAAAGCUUC
rnacentral:lncRNA from 1 species